UCCAGACAUCACCUCCUUGAGUCCCAUGUCCCGUUAAUGAAGUUGUUUUAAGUCUGGGAGAUUUUUCCUCUUGCUUGAUUAUCAGGCUUUUGGAGGGGGGAAAGUUCUUCAAAGAAGAUGCAUGGGUGGAAGUGGAUGGUAUAUGAUCAUGGUGAUGGGCACUUUGAAUCAAUAGCAGUGAAUACUUGUGGCGGGCUGGGUACUCAGAUUGUCAUGCAGGUUGAUUACAUAUUUGGGUUAUUUGCUCUGCUUCUCACAGCUAAGUUUGAUGGACGGCUUGCUGACUAAGGAACAUAGCUGCAACUGUAUGGAAACAACUUUCAGUAUCUUUUCUUUUGCACUGCAAGGGAUUUUCCAAAAAGCAUCUGUUGAUGCAUGAACAUGAAUGCCUCUGACAGACAUUGCUUGCCAAACCACAUUGACAUCUGGAGUGGCACCAAUCAACUUCAUUACAAACAGGCUCAUAGGAUUUAACUUUCUUUCGCUCUCUAUAGAGAUGCAUAAGUGGAAGUGGAUGGUACCUGAUCAUGGUGAUGUGCACUUUGCAUUAAUAGGGGAGAAUAUUUGUGGCAAGCUGGUUACUCAGAUUAUCAUCUCAGGUAGAUUACACAUUUGGGUUAUCUGCUCUGCUUCUUGUUGACUAAGGGACGUGGCAGCAAGUGUAUGAAAACUACUUGCAGUAUCUUUUCCUUUGCACUGUGAGGGAUUUUCAGAAAAGCCUCUGCUGAUGGGUGAAUACCAUUGACAGAUGCCAAACCACAUAGACGUCUUGAGCGACACCAACCAAAUUCAUCACAGUCAGGCCCGUAUGAUUUACCUUUCCAUUGUCAUAACCACUCUAUCAAUUGGUUUACUUUCCCAAUAAAUAGGGUUGCCUCUCAACGGAGGCUCAUUUUUUGCCUUUUUUAUCUGUUUCAAUUACUGAUUUUUCUGUUUGUUUUUGCAUGUUUCGCUUAAGGCAGCAGGAUUGCUUGCACAGUCUUCCUCUUGUCACGCCCACUCCUCUUUGUUUCCUCACAUAAUCAUAGUAGCAUGGAAGCAUUCCAGAGAACGCUCUUCUAGCAAAGUUCACGUGUGGAUAUCAUGGCCGAUAUGAUCGAUUGAACUCAGAAGAAAGAACCUGUCGAGCAAAAGGAUCAAUUCGAAGUUCUGCAUAUAUAACAAUUGGAUCAACUCAGCUCUCUGUUGUCCAUUUUCUUGUUUACAAAAGCUGGUCCAUGGGCUUACCCACUGAAGCAAGGCCACUGUUUUUGCGAUGAUGGUUUUAAUUUCACUUUUCGAGAUUCUUCGCUGACUAGAACCAUGUGCAAGUGCAUCAUCAGGCUUCAGUUUCAAAAGAAGCUUUAUGAUAUCUUUUGCUGGAAAGUCGCGAGCAUGGUGUAUCCUUUACUGUAAAUUAUGUCGACUCACCUCAGAUUGAUCCUUUAGUGUUAGAUAUCGAUAU